rnacentral:SRP_RNA from 1 species
GCCAGGCGCAGUGGCGCACGCCUGUAGUCCCAGCUGCUCGGGAGGCUGAGGCAGGAGGAUCGCUUGAGCCCAGGAGUUCUGGGCUGUAGUGUGCUAUGCUGAUUGGGUGUCCGCACUAAGUUCAGCAUCAAUAUGGUGACCUCCCAGGAGUGGGGGACCACCAGGUUGCCUAAGGAGGGGUGAACCGGCCCAGGUCGGAAAUGGAGCAGGUCAAGAAUAGGAACGAGCCUUGGCCUGGGUGUCAGGGGACCUGGAAUUUUGUUCUGACCCUAAUUAGCCGUGAGAAGGUGACUAUGUCACUU